ensembl:miRNA Gm23633 predicted gene, 23633
AGAAAUAUUUUCAUGCAUGCACACAAAUUCAUUCAUAUAUAUAUAAUAUGUAUGUGUGUGUGUAUGUGUGUGUGUACAUACAUACAUACACACACACACAUACAUACACACAAUCAUUU